ACUUUUCCCUCUAAUGGCUGCGAUGAUGCCUUUAACCCUUCCCUCUCUCUCUGCUCUGUAUACCUCUCUACCUGUUCUGAUUUCUACUGGCUGAAGUGCUGGUGAAAUGCUUUUUUUUUUUUUUGCUUUUUUUUUUUUUUUCCCCCCCCACAGUCUACAGCUUCUCAUUGUAGAGAGAGAGGAGGGAGCCUCUAUUGUACUGAUAUAAUCUUCAGUCUUUUAUUCCAAAACACUCAGUGGCAAAGAGGGCAAUGCAGUGGUUUGAUUUUUGGAGAUGGCAUUCAGAAGAAGUUGCUUCAUCACCUUUUCAAGGACAGAGUUGAGGGUGCCUGGUCUAUGUCUCUCCAGUACUGAUAACUCCGCAUCUGGAUGCAGUUCUCCAGUCUUAAACAGCUUUCUCAUGUUGAGCAUUGUAACUGGUUUGCCAAGGUCUCGGAAAAAAACAGAGUGGUUUACUAUGGCUGCCAAGUGAAGUCCUCAGUGACUAGAAGAAGGGAACCAUCACUACCACUUUUAAGAAAAAUAGAAAGGAAAAUCCAGGAAACAACAGACUUCAUGAGCCUCACAUCUGUGCUGAGGAAGAUCAUGGAACAGAUCCUCCUGGAAGAGAUGUUAAGCCACAUUCAAGAAGAGGUGAUACAAAACAGACAGCAUGGCUUUACCAAGGGCAGGUUAUGACAGAUUAAUCUGGUGGACUUCUGUGAUGGAGUGAUAGCAGCAGUGGACAAAGGAAGAGCAAAUGAUAUCAUCUGCCUGGACUUCUGCAAGGUCUUUUACAUGGUUUGAAAUUACAUUCCCAUCUCUAAACUGUAAAGGAUUUGAAGGUUGGAUUUUUCGGUGGAUAAAUAAUUGAUUGGAUGGUCACAGUCAAAGGGUUGUGGUCAAUUACUUUGUCUCCAAGCGGAGGCCAGUGAUCACAAGUAGUGUUCCCCAGGAGUCUAUUUUGGGACCAGCACUCUUUAACAUCUCUAUCAAUGACCUGGAGUGUGGGGCUGAACAUAAUCUCAUUCAGUCUGCUGAUGACACCAAGCUGGAUGGUGCAGUUGACACAACAGAAAGAAAAGAUGUCAUCUAAAGGCACCUGAAGAAGCUCGAAAAGUGUGCUCAUGUGAACCCAAUGGAAUCAGGGCAAUCCCAGGUAAUUAUACAGACUAGAAGAAGUAUUCCUUGAGAAUAGCCCUGCAGAGGAGUUAGGUGUUCUAGUAAAUGAAAAGCUGGGCAUAUGACAACAAUUUGCUUGCAGUCCAGAAAGACAACUGCUUCCUGGGUUGUAUCAAAAGAGGGGUGACCAGUCCUAGUGAAGCCCAACUUGGAGUACGACAUCCAGAUCUGUCGACACUAUUCCAAGAAAGACAUGGAGCUGCUAAAGAGAGUCCAGAAGAGAACUACAUGGAUGAUCAGAGGGCUGGAGCACCUCUCCUAUGAAGAAAAUCUGAGGGAGAUGGUCUUGUUCAUUUUGGAAAAGGCAAAGGUACAGAGAGACCUCAUUGCAGCCUUCAAGUACUUAAAUGGAGCUUACAAGUAGGAGGAGCACAGACUUAUUACAAUGAUUAUUACAGUGAUGGAACAUAAAGGAAUGGCUUUAAACUAAAAUGUGGUAGAUUUUUAUUAGAUAUCAGGAGGAAUUUGUUUAUUCAGAGGGUAGAGAGAACCUGGAAUAGGUCAUCCAGGAAAGAUGAAGAUGUCUAAUUCCUGGUAGAGUUCAAGGCCAAGUAGGAUGAGGUCCUGGGCCACCUGAUCUAGUGGACAUGAAAUCUGUACAUGCGUGGGGGUUGGAACUAGAUGAUCUUUAAGGUCCCCUUCAACCCAAGACAUUCUAUGUUUAUGGUGUCACUGAUCAAAUGUCCCCCAUCUGAAUUAAAAAAAAAAUUAAAAAAAAUGUACAUAACAGUUAUUAGUAAUGGUAUGUUCUUGUAAUGGUAUGUUCUUGUUAAUAUAGUGUAAAUAAUUUUGCUGUUAAAUGAAGGCUGUAAAAACCUACACAAAAACUGUGUUGGACAACUGUGACUUUUUCCACCUCCACACCAAGCUGUUUUUAAGAAGGUAAGACAGGAAUAAUGACAGAGUAAUAGAAUUUAUUCUCUUGAAGGCCUGAAGGCACUUUUAAAAAACUUUGUAAUUCCACAGUGUCAGAAAUAUUUUCUUAAUCAGCAUAGGCACCUGAUCUUUUUCCAUUACAAGGUCAUUAAAGCAAUUUAAUAAGAUAUUCAGUCUUCACUGCACCAACUGAAAGCUAAAGGUUAAUUAACCAUUAAGGUUUUUGAUUACAAUCUUUUUACUAAUCUUAUUCAGACAGAUUUUUGAUCCUAAACAGUAGGAGUUUAUAUUUUUUACUGUAGGGAUUUUAGCAUCUCAGCUUCUCUUUGGUGUUACUUCAAUUUUUCACCUGGCUCUGAGGUGUGGAGAACUUACUCAUACCUGCCAUACUAUUUCUCACUGUCUUCUUUAAAGCCUUGGAGAAUCUGAUGCAUUGUAAAUAUGACUAGAUUGUUAUGUGUGUUAUAUACAAUUACUCUGUCUCCUUUUGUAUGCUUCAUAGUAGAAUCUGCAUACCCACACUUGGAGGUAAGCUAUUUUACAUGAUUUCAAUGAUAUAAGGUUGUCAGAUAGCUGAGCAAAGCAAUGAAUUAUUAAAUUUUCAUCAUUUGUAUAGUAUCAUCCAAGAGCAUGGUUCCUGAUGGAAUCCACUUGAGGAUUCUUCAGGAGCUGGUGGGGGUGACUGUCAGGAUGCUUUGAACCAUCUAUCAGCAUUUCUGAUUAACCAGACAAGUCCCAGAGUUCUGCUAGCAUGACUCUUAUCUGCAAGAAGUGUCAUAAGGAGGAUCUGGGGUGCUACAGACAUUCAACCUGAACUUGUAGCCAGGAAAGAUUAUAGAGAAGAUCAUACUAAGAGAGAUGGCAUACGAGGGCCAUCUGGAAGUCAGGCCUAGCAAUCAAGGGUUCAUGAGAGGCAAGUCCCAAGUCAAGAGGCUUGACCAAUCUGACCUCCUUCUGUGAUUAAGUUAUUCACAGGGCAGAUAAGGAAAAGGCUGUUGACAUAGUCUACCUAGACUUCAGCAAAGCCUUUGACAGUGUCUUCCUCAGUAUUCUCCUGGAAAAGCUGUUGGCCCAUGGCUUAGGCAGGUACUCUGUUGGGUAAAGAACUGGCUGCAUGGUCAGGCCCAGAGAGUGGUUGGUGGUGAAUGAAGAUAAAUCCAGGCGGUAACAUGAGCGGUGUUUCCUGGGACUGGUGCUGGGGCCUGUCCUAUUCCAUACCUUUAUUGAAGACCUGGACAAGGGAGUUGAGUGCACUCUCAGUCAGUUUGCAGAUGACACCUAGUUAGCAGGAAGUGCCAAUCUGACUAAGGGUAGGAAGGCCCUACAGGGGAAUCUGGGCAGGCUGGAUAGCUGGGCCAAGGCCAAGGGAAUUAAUUUUGACAAGACCAAGUGAUGGGUCUUGCACUUUGGCCAUAACAGUAUCGGGCAGCUCUACAGGCUUGGGUCAGAGUUGCUGGAAGACUGUUGAAGUUGUUUUGUUUUCUUGUGUGUGUGUGUGUGUUGUUUUUUUUGGUUUUUUUUUUUUUUCAUUUCUGUAUCUGGUAGUCUGAAAAGGAAAUAUAUAGCAACAAAGUGGCAUGAUGGCUGCAGACAGAAGUAGCCUGUCUCCAAGAGGUAAGAGGAUUCUAGCCAAGGAACUGGCAGGACUUAUUGAAAGGUCUUUAAACUAGGUAUGAAGGGG